UCUCGAUAGCGUAAAAGUUAACUCAAAUUUGUAUGGAGUUGUAACGCUUGUCAACGUUUGCUACUAAGAGUACUUUUCGAACUGCAUACAAAUUUGCGUUAACUUUUACGCUAUCGA
rnacentral:pre_miRNA from 9 species